rnacentral:lncRNA from 1 species
AAAAAGAUUGGGGAAAAAGGAUGCAGAAAUCUAGGCAAGAAAUAAGAGCCUUAAAAAGUAAAAAAUCCAAGACAGAGGAGGUAUACCAAGGAGACAGAGUAAACAAAAAAGAGAGAGAAAAAUAUUGGAAAAGAGACAAGGUCAAGAAAAGAAUCAAAGAUAACUUUGGGGUUAUGGGCAAUUGGUGAGACAGGAUUAGGUGAUGAAGCAUUUACUGAGAGAAGGAACUCAUUAAAGGAGCAAAUCAGGACAUAGCAAAGUCUGGAGCAAGAUGAAGGGUUGAUUUUUGAAUAUGCAAAAUUUCCUGGGCCAUAUGUCUACCCAGGUGGAGAAGCCAAUUAGUGAAUAUGGAGCUCAGGAGAGAGGUGAGAGAUGUAGAUUGUGAAAUCAUUGGAAUAGAGAUAAUAUUAAAGCCUUAGAUAUGGACAAAUUCAUCUAGCAAGAAUAUAGAACAAAAAACAAAAGCAGGUGAAGGCAGAAUUACCUGCAUUGAACAGAGAGCUGGAGGAGGAGGAAUAAACCAUACUUGGUUAGAGAUUAGAACAUCUUUUGCUAAAUCCUGACCUGUGGAGCUAUUCAACACCCAUACACAUAUGUGUGAACACACACACAUCCAUGGUCAGAAGUCUAAGAGACUCCCAACCUACCUUACCAUGCUUAAGACUAGUAACUUCUUUGGAGCUCAUUUUUUUAAAAAAUGAUACUUAAUCAUUUAGAUGAGGACCAAAAAACACUGCCUUUAGAUCUGCAGAAGAGGCCCCAGCAUUGGAUAUCUCUUUGAGAACUCUCCUAAAAUUAUUCUCUUUCCUGCAGAAUGAAAAGUUUGAGUAUCAAGGAGGUCAUAUGCAUAAGGAUCCUGGUCCACACCACCCUCAUAUCUAUACCAUGCUCUAGGUAUCUGGGGUUCUAGAAUUGGCUGCUGUGAUGUCCCUAAAUCUUCACCCAGAGUCUGUGUAUCACUUUGCCUGGUCUGUUCUCCUGAGGACAAAGUGUACCUACACUCUGGUGUCACCACUGGUAAGCCUAAGUGGUGGUCAAGAUGUGACAAUUUAAAAGAAGUAUGGAAGAAACUAGGAAGGCUGAACUAGGAUCUCCCCACAGAUAUGCUUGAAAA